CUGGUGAGCAGCAACAUGUGAAGACUCGUUUUCUCAGUGCUCAGAUCCAGGGCGAACAAUUUACUAUUAAUAUUUGACCAACACCUCCCCCACCGGGUUCAUUUUGUAACGUUUAAUUUGGAAUCGAACCCAAUUUACUAAUCUGGCUUUUUUUGUGAAAUGUUUGGCCUUUUAAUCGUAAAAUGUCGAGACAACAACGGCCGCGGGCCACAAAGGAGCAGGCCUCUGCUGAAGCCUCGGGCUCACCUGACACGGACUCUGAUCCCACAGACCUAGCCAUGGUAAUGGCGGCUAUCAUUAAAUCUGAACACUGUGCUGGAUAAGGUGGAGUCAUUAUCCACUGACCUGUUCGCACAAAUAGCUAUUCACGCCACCGAGAUCAACAUAAAGAUUGACUCCGUUAGCGAAGACUUGGCGAGACAGAUGGCGCAAAUGUUUACUCCGACAAAGUGGUGACACUGGAAGAGCAAGUCACCCGGCUAUCAUCAAAAGUCGUCAAACUCACUUCCAAGGUUGAGGACCCCGAGAACAGACAGUGCCGGGGGAACGGUCGAAUUUUCGGCGUGAGAGAGGGACUCGAGACCGUAGGCAGAAUGCGGCCUACCCUGUCCAUAGCUAAACUGCUACAGGAAAUUCUAGGCCUCGAUUAAACCCCCACCCUUGACCAUGCGCACAGAAGCAUACAGUCCGCACCGAAGAAUGGGGAGCCGCCCAGACCCAUAGUAGUUAAUUUCCACUACCUUCAGGAGAAGGAGGAUGUCUUCCGUAAGGCAGUGCGAGUGGCUCCCAUCACCCACGACGGCCAGAAUAUUCGCAUUUACCAGGACUACACGGCGGAAGUCAUGAAGAAGAGGUCAGCCUUCAACGAGGUGAGGUGGCUCCUACACCGCUGUCUGGACACCAAGUUCGGCAUUCUCUACGCAGCUGUACUGAAGAUCACUACUUCCUCCAGUGAGCAGAUGACAUUCUUAGACCCAACCAAGGCCAAAGAAUACAUUGUCGUGCACCUACAUCCACAGGAGGACAGGCAACAUAAUACUAACUAGCCAUUGUGGGCUCAUACUGUGACCCUGCACUAGCCGUGCUAAUGCGACCAAGGACCAACAAGUGAAUUCAUAUCUUGACUAGAAACGUGCCUCCACCCUGCUGUCAAAAAAUUACAAUUAUUUAUCCAGUAAUUUAACAGUAAUAUUAGGCCUAUGAGAAUAAUUAUAUGGAGGAUUUGCUGUUUGUGUGUUAAUGUAUAUUUUGAAGUGUAUGUGUAUUAUUUUUUUCAAGGUGGGAACUAGGAAGGCAAUUAUGUUGGGAGAGAGUUGAGAUAUUGACUAGACUGUG
rnacentral:lncRNA from 1 species